AGCAGUAGCCGCGGGAAUACAGAGGGUGCAAGCGUUAAUCGGAAUUACUGGGCGUAAAGCGCGCGUAGGUGGUUUGUUAAGUUGGAUGUGAAAGCCCCGGGCUCAACCUGGGAACUGCAUCCAAAACUGGCAAGCUAGAGUACGGUAGAGGGUGGUGGAAUUUCCUGUGUAGCGGUGAAAUGCGUAGAUAUAGGAAGGAACACCAGUGGCGAAGGCGACCACCUGGACUGAUACUGACACUGAGGUGCGAAAGCGUGGGGAGCAAACAGGAUUAGAUACCCGUGUAGUCCCUGUCUCUUAUAC
rnacentral:rRNA from 1 species